rnacentral:tRNA from 1 species
GGUUGUGGCUCAGUGGUAGAAUGCUCACCUCGCACGUGCGAGGCCCUUGGUUCGAACCUCAGCACCA